rnacentral:rRNA from 1 species
AAGUGGUAGGAGAGCGUUCUAUUUGCGUCGAAGGUAUACCGGUAAGGAGUGCUGGAGCGAAUAGAAGUGAGCAUGCAGGCAUGAGUAGCGAUAAUUAAUGUGAGAAUCAUUAACGCCGUAAACCCAAGGUUUCCUACGCGAUGCUCGUCAUCGUAGGGUUAGUCGGGUCCUAAGUCGAGUCCGAAAGGGGUAGACGAUGGCAAAUUGGUUAAUAUUCCAAUACCAACAUUAGUGUGCGAUGGAAGGACGCUUAGGGCUAAGGGGGCUAGCGGAUGGAAGUGCUAGUCUAAGGUUGUAGGAGGUUAUACAGGCAAAUCCGUAUAACAAUACUCCGAGAACUGAAAGGCUUUUUGAAGUCUUCGGAUGGAUAGAAGAACCCCUGAUGCCGUCGAGCCAAGAAAAGUUUCUAAGUUUAGCUAAUGUUGCCCGUACCGUAAACCGACACAGGUGGGUGGGAUGAGUAUUCUAAGGCGCGUGGAAGAACUCUCUUUAAGGAACUCUGCAAAAUAGCACCGUAUCUUCGGUAUAAGGUGUGGUUAGCUUCGUACUAGGAUUUACUCCGAAAGCGAAGAAACUUACAACAAAGAGUCCCUCCCGACUGUUUACCAAAAACACAGCACUCUGCUAACUCGUAAGAGGAUGUAUAGGGUGUGACGCCUGCCCGGUGCUCGAAGGUUAAUUGAUGGGGUUAGCAUUAGCGAAGCUCUUGAUCGAAGCCCGAGUAAACGGCGGCCGUAACUAUAACGGUCCUAAGGUAGCGAAAUUCCUUGUCGGUUAAAUACCGACCUGCAUGAAUGGCGUAACGAGAUGGGAGCUGUCUCAAAGAGGGAUCCAGUGAAAUUGUAGUGGAGGUGAAAAUUCCUCCUACCCGCGGCAAGACGGAAAGACCCCGUGGACCUUUACUACAGCUUGACACUGCUACUUGGAUAAGAAUGUGCAGGAUAGGUGGGAGGCUUUGAGUAUAUGACGCCAGUUGUAUAUGAGCCAUUGUUGAGAUACCACUCUUUCUUAUUUGGGUAGCUAACCAGCUUGAGUUAUCCUCAAGUGGGACAAUGUCUGGUGGGUAGUUUGACUGGGGCGGUCGCCUCCCAAAUAAUAACGGAGGCUUACAAAGGUUGGCUCAGAACGGUUGGAAAUCGUUCGUAGAGUAUAAAGGUAUAAGCCAGCUUAACUGCAAGACAUACAAGUCAAGCAGAGACGAAAGUCGGUCUUAGUGAUCCGGUGGUUCUGUGUGGAAGGGCCAUCGCUCAAAGGAUAAAAGGUACCCCGGGGAUAACAGGCUGAUCUCCCCCAAGAGCUCACAUCGACGGGGAGGUUUGGCACCUCGAUGUCGGCUCAUCGCAUCCUGGGGCUGGAGCAGGUCCCAAGGGUAUGGCUGUUCGCCAUUUAAAGCGGUACGCGAGCUGGGUUCAGAACGUCGUGAGACAGUUCGGUCCCUAUCUGCCGUGGGCGUAAGAAGAUUGAAGAGAUUUGACCCUAGUACGAGAGGACCGGGUUGAACAAACCACUGGUGUAGCUGUUGUUCUGCCAAGAGCAUCGCAGCGUAGCUAAGUUUGGAAAGGAUAAACGCUGAAAGCAUCUAAGCGUGAAGCCAACUCUAAGAUGAAUCUUCUCUAAGCUCUCUAGAAGACUACUAGUUUGAUAGGCUGGGUGUGUAAUGGAUGAAAGUCCUUUAGCUGACCAGUACUAAUAGAGCGUUUGGCUUAUCUUU